UGACCUGAGCCGAAGUCGGACGCUUAACCAACUGAGCCAUCGAGGAGCCCCGUAGGUGUGUUUACUUCUUUAUUUUCUGUCUCCCAGCCAUCCCAGGAAGGCACACCUUUGUCUCCAGAUCCUAGCACAGGGCCUGGCACACAGAAGGUGCUGAAGUUUGUUGACUGGCUUGGUGGAGUGAGCCACAAGAACACCCAUCAUUUACCACGCACUUUAUACCUUUACAUUGUCACAUCCUCCUAGUGACCCCGGGAAGGGGGUACUGAGGCUUUGAAAGAUGAAACCGUUAGACUCAGGUCAUCAGGUGAGUCAAGUGUGGGAAUGGAACUCAAGGCUGCCUGAUCCGAAACAUACACAAGUACUCUUGGGAGGGAGGAGUGAGAAGGGUCCCACAAAUGUCCUAAAGAUAGGUGCGUGGGGCCCUGAAGGGAAUGAUGAGCUCCACUGGAAUGGGACAAACAUGAGGCAGGGGACCCAGGCCCGGGAAAUGUUCAGACCUGCUUAAAUUUAGGGGCGGCUCUGUGUGGAGGGAGUUCUUGAGGCCCAGAGAAGGCAAGGGACUUGGCCAAGUUUACAGCGCCGGUCAACAGCAGAGCCAGGACUCAAACCUAGGGCUCCCAAUGCCUCAUUGGGGGAAUUGGCGGGACAGGAGAGAGGCAGCCUGCAUAAGGAAGUUAUAUUUCAGGAAGCAGCGGAGCACAGCGGUGGUUUUCUGGCCUUAGAUUUUCCUGGCUGCAUCCUGCACCAACUAUGGGAAUUGGGAAAACUCUUCAACUUCUCUAUGUCUCAAUUGCCUCACUGUUAAACAGGGAUGCAAAUGAGCUGGCAUUUAGGAACCCCUUAGUGGGUUCUGGCCACGUGAAUCACAGCUGUGCAUCAUAGACCACACUUGGUACCAUGUGAACCUGACCUCCAAAUGAGGCAGUCAAGGGUGGCUGUUAUUGAGUUGUGCGAGUAUAUCUGCCACCAUGGUGUUUGCUGCCACUGAGGAAUGGCCAAACUAUUGCCAUGUCAGCAGUGCCACAGUGAGAGACAGAGCAUGAGCAGGGGAGGAGAGAGAAAGAGGGAGACACAGAAUCCGAA